UACAGAGGUGGCAAGCGUUGUUCGGAAUUACUGGGCGUAAAGGGCGCGUAGGCGGCCUUCUAAGUCAGACGUGAAAUCCCCCGGCUUAACCUGGGAACUGCGUCUGAUACUGGGAGGCUUGAGUAUGGGAGAGGGAUGUAGAAUUCCAGGUGUAGCGGUGAAAUGCGUAGAUAUCUGGAGGAAUACCGGUGGCGAAGGCGGAUCUCUGGGCCUUACCUGACGCUGAGGCGCGAAAGCUAGGGGAGCAAACAGG
rnacentral:rRNA from 1 species